rnacentral:rRNA from 1 species
GAUGGCGACCGGCGCACGGGUGAGUAACACGUAUCCAACCUGCCGUCUACUCUUGGACAGCCUUCUGAAAGGAAGAUUAAUACAAGAUGGCAUCAUGAGUCCGCAUGUUCACAUGAUUAAAGGUAUUCCGGUAGACGAUGGGGAUGCGUUCCAUUAGAUAGUAGGCGGGGUGACGGCCCACCUAGUCUUCGAUGGAUAGGGGUUCUGAGAGGAAGGUCCCCCACAUUGGAACUGAGACACGGUCCAAACUCCUACGGGAGGCAGCAGUGAGGAAUAUUGGUCAAUGGGCGAGAGCCUGAACCAGCCAAGUAGCGUGAAGGAUGACUGCCCUAUGGGUUGUAAACUUCUUUUAUAAAGGAAUAAAGUCGGGUAUGCAUACCCGUUUGCAUGUACUUUAUGAAUAAGGAUCGGCUAACUCCGUGCCAGCAGCCGCGGU